CUAGCUACAGGCUUAACACAUGCAAGUCGAGGGGCAUCAGGAAGAAAGCUUGCUUUCUUUGCUGGCGACCGGCGCACGGGUGAGUAACACGUAUCCAACCUGCCCUUUACUCGGGGAUAGCCUUUCGAAAGAAAGAUUAAUACCCGAUAGCAUAAUGAUUCCGCAUGGUUUCAUUAUUAAAGGAUUCCGGUAAAGGAUGGGGAUGCGUUCCAUUAGGUUGUUGGUGAGGUAACGGCCCACCAAGCCUUCGAUGGAUAGGGGUUCUGAGAGGAAGGUCCCCCACAUUGGAACUGAGACACGGUCCAAACUCCUACGGGAGGCAGCAGUGAGGAAUAUUGGUCAAUGGGCGCUAGCCUGAACCAGCCAAGUAGCGUGAAGGAUGAAGGCUCUAUGGGUCGUAAACUUCUUUUAUAUAAGAAUAAAGUGCACCAUGUAUACUGUUUUGUAUGUAUUAUAUGAAUAAGGAUCGGCUAACUCCGUGCCAGCAGCCGCGGUAAUACAGAGGAUCCGAGCGUUAUCCGGAUUUAUUGGGUUUAAAGGGAGCGUACGUGGACUGGUAAGUCAGUUGUGAAAGUUUUGCGGCUCAACCGUAAAAUUGCAGUUGAUACUGUCAGUCUUGAGUACAGUAGAGGUGGGCGGAAUUCGUGGUGUAGCGGUGAAAUGCUUAGAUAUCACGAAGAACUCCGAUUGCGAAGGCAGCUCACUGGACUGCAACUGACACUGAUGCUCGAAAGUGUGGGUAUCAAACAGGAUUAGAUACCCUGGUAGUCCACACAGUAAACGAUGAAUACUCGCUGUUUGCGAUAUACAGUAAGCGGCCAAGCGAAAGCAUUAAGUAUUCCACCUGGGAGUACGCCGGCAACGGUGAAACUCAAAGGAAUUGACGGGGGCCCGCACAAGCGGAGGAACAUGUGGUUUAAUUCGAUGAUACGCGAGGAACCUUACCCGGGCUUAAAUUGCAGUGGAAUGAUGUGGAAACAUGUCAGUGAGCAAUCACCGCUGUGAAGGUGCUGCAUGGUUGUCGUCAGCUCGUGCCGUGAGGUGUCGGCUUAAGUGCCAUAACGAGCGCAACCCUUAUCUUUAGUUACUAACAGGUUAUGCUGAGGACUCUGGAGAGACUGCCGUCGUAAGAUGUGAGGAAGGUGGGGAUGACGUCAAAUCAGCACGGCCCUUACGUCCGGGGCUACACACGUGUUACAAUGGGGGGUACAGAAGGCAGCUAGCGGGUGACCGUAUGCUAAUCCCAAAAGCCUCUCUCAGUUCGGAUCGAAGUCUGCAACCCGACUUCGUGAAGCUGGAUUCGCUAGUAAUCGCGCAUCAGCCACGGCGCGGUGAAUACGUUCCCGGGCCUUGUACACACCGCCCGUCAAGCCAUGGGAGCCGGGGGUACC
rnacentral:rRNA from 1 species